rnacentral:rRNA from 1 species
GACGAACGCUGGCGGCGUGCUUAACACAUGCAAGUCGAACGAAGAGCGAUGGAAGCUUGCUUCUAUCAAUCUUAGUGGCGAACGGGUGAGUAACGCGUAAUCAACCUGCCCUUCAGAGGGGGACAACAGUUGGAAACGACUGCUAAUACCGCAUACGAUCUAAUCUCGGCAUCGAGGAUAGAUGAAAGGUGGCCUCUACAUGUAAGCUAUCACUGAAGGAGGGGAUUGCGUCUGAUUAGCUAGUUGGAGGGGUAACGGCCCACCAAGGCGAUGAUCAGUAGCCGGUCUGAGAGGAUGAACGGCCACAUUGGGACUGAGACACGGCCCAGACUCCUACGGGGGGCAGCAGUGGGGAAUCUUCCGCAAUGGACGAAAGUCUGACGGAGCAACGCCGCGGGAGGGAUGACGGCCGUCGGGUUGUAAAGCUCUGUUAAUCGGGACGAAAGGCCUUCUUGCGAAUAGUGAGAAGGAUUGACGGUACCGGAAUAGAAAGCCACGGCUAACUACGUG